rnacentral:sRNA from 1 species
CAGGGUACUAAUGAAACUCCUCUAGGUGCUAUCAUAGGGCCUAUAAUAGGAGGUGUAGCUUUGAUACUAAUUAUAGUGGUGGCUAUAAUAUUAAUAAGGAGAAGAAAACGCCAUGAAAAACCCGUUGAACAACAAGCCCAGAUUUCUUCAGGACACGACGUUGCCAGAGACUCCACGCCGCUUGCUAAAGGAACAAGUUAUCAUUACGUUGACAAUAGUAA